AUAGUCGCCAUCAUAAUCGUGGUGCAAUCGAUUGACAUGGCACAAUGCCACGUCAACCGAUUUAAUUAAAAAAGUGAAAGAAAAUAGAAAUAGAAAACAGGAAGAGAAAUACGCAGAUGCAGAGCUCUCUUCGUCCACAUGGGUGGAGCUUGAACUUCUCUUCGUCUUCGUAUCAGCUUAAGCUUCUCUUCGUCUUCGUACCAGCAGAGCCAAGAUUCAUCUUCGUAACUGACAACUUCGUGUAGCUUGUCGUCGGUGGUUUCUUCCACAUUUAAGCCACGAAAAUUUUGGAACAGAUCUGUGCAUAAUCAAUCUGCUGCACUUCCUCUCACUCUCUCUCUCUCUCUCUCGCUCUCUCUCGGUUGGCUCUUAUUGGGAUUGUCACCAUGGGAAAAAGGAAAGAACACACAUCUGCCCUAACAUCAUCUAGCUUAAAUCCACCAACCCAGGACAUACCAAUAACUUGUCAAAACUUUGCAAAUUACACGUAUGAUGGUCAACGCCUUUUGUGCCAAAUCCAGAUGGCAACCUAUAUCCAAGCAACAUCCAGGUGAUGCAACUCUAUUGCUAUUUUUUUUUUAUAAGCUUGCAUUUUUUGUACUCCCAUUAUCCAAUGAAAAUUAGAAGUUUUUUUUUCUAUUUUUGUUCUUAGCAAUGGAAUUAUUUGAAAAUUUAAUUGCAGAUUCUUUGUGUUUUAAGCAAAAUAUUGGUUACCCAUUUCAAUAUGGAAUGGGACCUCCGACUCCUUUCAUCACUACAAGCUUCGCUACAAGCGCAAGAGUUGGUAAAGAGGUUACACCUGAUUGUAGGAAAACUGAAGUGUCACAUACCUCCUCUAGAGUUGUUGAAGAAAGUAAAGAAGAUAGAUCAGAUUCUAGAAAAACUGACAAUUGCAGUGCCGAGACAUCUCAAAUAGUGCAAAUGGAUGGGGGUGAUAUGAUUGAGAAGCCAAAGUUGAGGAUGCAGUUUAAUUCUUUUGAAGAAUUAAUGAGUUAUUAUAAGCGAUAUGUGGGUUUGGGGUGAUGACACGAAAGAGUGAUAGGGGAGAGGAUGAGAGUGUUAGAUAUGUCGCCCUUCAUUGUGCCCGUGGUGGGAAGGCUUGGAAUAGGACCUUAAAUGUCGCCAAAUCACGUACGAUAGGAAAGACGGACUGUAAGGCAAAGAUAAAGGUCUUAAAAGUCGAGGAAAUGUUUUGGUUGACAACAGUUCAUAAUACCCAUAAUCAUGGCCUAAAUCCACAUAAAUUUUGAUUCUUUUGAUAUAAUAAAGAAGUGAGUGAGUCCGUAAAAAGAGUCCUAAAUACAAACGACUUGGUUGACAUCAAAAUGAAUAAGAGCUUCGACUCUCUUGUCGUUGGCAUGGGUGGAUUCGAAAACCUUCUAUUUUCGAAAAAAGAUUGUAACAAUUACAUCCAUAAGGCACGACAUCUACGACGCGAGAAAGGUGAUGUUGGAGCGUUCUGAGAGUAUUUUUGUAGGAUGUAGUAAAAGAAUGACGGGUUUUUUGUACUAAUAGAUUUAGAUGAUGACAUGAGGUUAAAUAAUAUCUUUUUGGCAGAUGCACAUAGUAGGCCAGUCUACCAAUAUUUUGGUGAUUUGGUAACAUUUGACAUCACAUACCUGACAAAUAUAUAUGAGAAGCCCUUUGCACCCUUUGUUGGUGUAAACCACCAUGGACAGUCAAUUCUUUUAGGAGCAGGGUUGUUGUCUAGCGAGGAUACAGAGACCUUUACAUGGUUAUUCUAAACCUGGUUGUAGUGUAUGGAUGGUAUACCUUCAAAAGCUAUUAUCACAUAUCAAGACAACAAUGAAAAAUACAAUUACUAUUGUCUUUCCAAAAAUCCGACAAAGAUUCUUCCUGUAGCAUAUACUAAAAGAAGUCCCCAAGAAACUUGGUUCCUAUGAUGUCUACAAAAGCGGGCUGAAAAAUUAGUUGAUGAACUGUAUGUAUGACAGUCAAACUAUUGAAGAGUUUGAGAGUUGUUGGGAAUGGUUAAUUAACACGUACAACUUGCAUGAGAAUGCUCUGUUGCAAAAUUUAUACUCUGAGCGUGGGCAUUUGGUACUGGUAUUUCUAAAAGAGUUCUUUUGGCUGGAAUGAGUACAACCUAGCGAAGCGAGAGCACAAAUGCUUUCUCUGACGGAUAUGUUCAUGCAAGGACAAAUUUGAAGGAGUUGAGGAAGAAAGUUGAGAAUGAAAAUGGCGUAGACUUUCACUCAUUUAACGUUACAAUUCCCUGCAUAUCUAGAUAUCCAAUUGAUAAUAGAUUUCAAGAGUUGUACACGGACGCUAAAUUUAGGAAAGUUCAGCAGCAAGUCAUGGGUGUGCUUGAUAUAGAUCUAGCUCUAUUUAAAAGGGAUAGUGUAAUAAAAACCUAUCUGGUAGAGGAUGAAGUUUGUGUUGAAGAGCUCACUAAGACAGUUACACAUCUUGUGGACUUUAAUGAGGACGACUACGAUACAAAAUAUUCAUGCGGAUUAUUUCAGAUGAGGGGAUACUAUGUAGACAUAUUCUAGCCAUAUUCAAAGCCAAUCAAAUAAAAUCAUUGCUAGAUAGAUACAUUUUAGAUCGAUGGAGGAAGGACAUCAAAAGGAGAUACACUUUAAUCUGCAGUAGAUAUGACGUAGGGAAUCAUAGGCGUGAGUUACAUGUUAACAGAUACUCACGCCUAUUGAAUAUAUGUUAUGAGAUAACUCAUGCAGCAGUUUCCAAUGAGCAUAGUGUGGAUACAGCUCAAAAGUGAUAUGCAAUGAUUGACUUAUAUCACACCAAUCAACAACCCCUGUCUAUGACUUGAACGGGUUCCAAUGUUGGUUGUAUGACAGUUGACACAACUAUAGUUGGGAGCUCAAAACAAGUACUUAGUCCACUUGUCAUGAGAAUCCGGGAUUCCAGGAUGGAGAAAGACAUGCUAAAGGUUAAAGCCAAGAAGAAGAAAGCA